GAUGAACGCUGGCGGCGUGCCUAAUACAUGCAAGUCGAGCGAACGGACGAGAAGCUUGCUUUUCUGAUGUUAGCGGCGGACGGGUGAGUAACACGUGGUUAACCUACCUAUAAGACUGGGAUAACUUCGGGAAACCGGAGCUAAUACCGGAUAAUAUUUUGAACCGCAUGGUUCAAAAGUGAAAGACGGUCUUGCUGUCACUUAUAGAUGGAUCCGCGCUGCAUUAGCUAGUUGGUAAGGUAACGGCUUACCAAGGCAACGAUGCAUAGCCGACCUGAGAGGGUGAUCGGCCACACUGGAACUGAGACACGGUCCAGACUCCUACGGGAGGCAGCAGUAGGGAAUCUUCCGCAAUGGGCGAAAGCCUGACGGAGCAACGCCGCGUGAGUGAUGAAGGUCUUCGGAUCGUAAAACUCUGUUAUUAGGGAAGAACAUAUGUGUAAGUAACUGUGCACAUCUUGACGGUACCUAAUCAGAAAGCCACGGCUAACUACGUG
rnacentral:rRNA from 1 species